rnacentral:rRNA from 1 species
AGCAGCAGUGGGGAAUAUUGCACAAUGGGCGCAAGCCUGAUGCAGCCAUGCCGCGUGUGUGAAGAAGGCCUUCGGGUUGUAAAGCACUUUCAGCAGUGAGGAAGGCGUGGUGGUUAAUACCCAUUACGUUUGACGUUAGCUGCAGAAGAAGCACCGGCUAACUCCGUGCCAGCAGCCGCGGUAAUACGGAGGGUGCGAGCGUUAAUCGGAAUUACUGGGCGUAAAGCGCAUGCAGGCGGUUUGUUAAGCAAGAUGUGAAAGCCCCGGGCUCAACCUGGGAACCGCAUUUUGAACUGGCAGGCUAGAGUCUUGUAGAGGGGGGUAGAAUUUCAGGUGUAGCGGUGAAAUGCGUAGAGAUCUGAAGGAAUACCGGUGGCGAAGGCGGCCCCCUGGACAAAGACUGACGCUCAGAUGCGAAAGCGUGGGGAGCAAACAGGAUUAGAUACCCUGGUAGUCCACGCUGUAAACGAUGUCUACUUGGAGGUUGCGGUCUUGAACUGUGGCUUUCGGAGCUAACGCGUUAAGUAGACCGCCUGGGGAGUACGGUCGCAAGAUUAAAACUCAAAUGAAUUGACGGGGGCCCGCACAAGCGGUGGAGCAUGUGGUUUAAUUCGAUGCAACGCGAAGAACCUUACCUACUCUUGACAUCCACAGAAGCCGGAAGAGAUUC